rnacentral:rRNA from 1 species
CCCUUAGAUGUUCUGGGCCGCACGCGCGCUACACUGAUUCAUGCAACAAGUUUUGUCCUUGGCUGAUAGGUCUGGGUAAUCUUUGAACGUGAAUCGUGAUGGGGAUAGAUGAUUGCAAUUAUUCAUCUUCAACGAGGAAUUCCUAGUAAACGCAAGUCAUCAGCUUGCAUUGAUUACGUCCCUGCCCUUUGUACACACCGCCCGUCGCACCUACCGAUUGAAUGGUCCGGUGAAAUCUUCGGAUCUGAGAGAUGUCUGAUUAAUUUCGGACGCCUUUUGGAAAAGUUGUUUAAACCUUACCAUUUAGAGGAAGGUGAANUCGUANCA